UACGAAGGGGGCUAGCGUUGCUCGGAAUCACUGGGCGUAAAGCGCACGUAGGCGGACUCUUAAGUCAGGGGUGAAAUCCUGGAGCUCAACUCCAGAACUGCCUUUGAUACUGAAGAUCUUGAGUUCGGGAGAGGUGAGUGGAACUGCGAGUGUAGAGGUGAAAUUCGUAGAUAUUCGCAAGAACACCAGUGGCGAAGGCGGCUCACUGGCCCGGUACUGACGCUGAGGUGCGAAAGCGUGGGGAGCGAACAGG
rnacentral:rRNA from 1 species